rnacentral:misc_RNA from 1 species
GAUGGUGUAAGAAUUAUUGCUGAGAAUAUUCAAUGUAAUGAUUCUAUUAAAAUAUCGGAUUCUAGAGGGUAUUGUGGUACCACUUUUACACACUGUCAAAGGAUUCAAACGCAGCACAGCGAAAGACGCCAUGUUUGCUCUGCGCGACGAGAGAGAGGAAAUGGCCUUCUCGUAAUCUACUCUUCUUGUCGGCGAGAUUAAACUACACCAUGGCGAGUGGUUUGUUGUCUCUCAAGUGGAAUAACCACCGGACAACUUUCUUCCAUGUCCUCUCCACUAUCAGGAGCAAGGAGUCUUACUGUGAUGCUACCAUUGCCUGUGAUGGGAAGUUUUACCCAGUCCAUAAACUGGUGUUGUCAACAUGUAGUGAUUAUUUUGAACAAAUGUUUGAAAGGACAAACUGUAAACAUCCAAUUAUAGUGUUGAAAGAUAUUAGACAUGAGGAUCUUGAGGCCCUCCUGAACUAUAUGUAUGUAGGUGAAGUGAAUGUGUUACAAAAUGAACUAGCAGGACUAAUAAAAGCUGCAGAAUGCCUAAUGAUAAAGGGAUUAGCAGUGCCUGAUGAAGCCCCAACUAAAGAAUCUAAGAGAAGCUCGGGGAGUGGGAAAGAAGACAGUCCUGUAGCGAAAAGAAGAAAGAAAGACGAUGAACCUAGGUUAUCAGCCACCUCAGUUAACCAACAUGUACAAAGAGAAACAAGAGAGUCGCCUAGUGUGACCUCUACUCAAUCCCAAAGACAUUCAGCGAGUGCCUCCAUUCCAACUCCUUCCCCUACAGUGUCCAGAACCGCUCCCCCUCCUAUCUCUCCGUCACCCUCAAUUGGUAGUGUCUCUGACGCCGUGUCUGAAGACUGCAGCCAAGGCCAGAAUGAAGGUAGUGAUUUGCCGGCCCUAUCCAAUGCACAGGAUCCAAAGCAUGGUAGUAGUGAGCAAGCAUCUAGUCAAUCGCAACAGGCAGUACCUGAGGUAAUAUUAGAUGAACCUGGUGUCAAAGAAGAACCCCAAGAAGUGGAAGAGGAAGUAACUGAAACAAAAGAGAUAAUAGAAUCGCAGUUUUCGUUUGAUCCCUUAACGGAAGGUGAUUCUCGGGCGGAAGCAGGCGGUGGAGGUAAUAGUAGUGGGAGCACAGGCCCACCUGGCUUUGAUCCACAGAUGAUUGGUUCUCAGCCUCAGUCAAUGGAAGAACUAGUUGCUCAAGCCAUUCCAGGCUCCUCUGGAUUACAGGGGAACUCCGUUUCCCUCUGGGAGGGAGACGGAAGUCUACAAGGCUUUCCUAUGGAAGGCUAUAGUGGAGAUGGUUCUCGGCCACCUCAGAUGGACUGUGGAGAUGGUCGGGUGCCAACAGUCUGCUCAUCAAGAGCAGGGCAGGGUUUGGAGGGGGGAGCGAUGUUGGCUGAUGGAACUAAAGCAGUGAUCUUCAUGAAAGUUUGCUCUACCUGUGGCUACGUCUCUAAGGAUAUGUGUGACCUUCGAAAACACAUCAGAAUCCACACAGGCGAAAAGCCCUAUGAUACAUGGCAACCUCGCAUGGAUGUGAAUGUGGGGAAAGGCCCAAGGCGCCAGCACGAGUGUUCCUACUGCCCCUACAUAGCACGGGACAAGACUGAUCUUCGUGGGGGGUGGGCCACGUGGCAUCAGGACGAUCCCUUUGUGCCCAGUUUGUGGACAUGCGGCCAGAGACAACGUGGAUUUGCGACGUCACCUGAGAGUUCAUACAGGGGAGAAGCCCUUCGCCUGUCCACUGUGCCCUUAUCGAGCUACUCAGAACAACAACUUGAAAAGGCACCUAGCAUUCAAACACCAGCAGAACACAGGCAGCCUUUAGUUCUGCAGUUUUGGGGCUGCAAGAAGCUUUGAAAACCUAGGGAUAUAUAGUGAAAUGGAUACAUAGAUUGAUGUAAGAGAUCAUUAAGCAAGAUCAUCAAGAUUGAGUUGUAGAAAGGAUGAAGCAAAUGCCAAGCAAAGGUGUGGUCAACCAUCAGAGGCAAGUCCCCGGCCAGAGGCAGGAACAUGUUCGUUUGUGGAUUUUGUGGCUACUGUGCCCGUGACAAUGACAACCUGAAUCGUCACAUCCGGACU